GAAACAGGAGGACGAUUUUAUCGUAUCAGGGCCACACCUUUGUGUACUGCUGUCAUAUUUGAGAGGGAAUCCAGCCAAGAAAGACAGAUACACCAGGGACUUCUUUACAGAUGGAUAGGUUGUCCAGAAAAAGCGAGAACAUUCAAACAACCAGGAAUUGCAUCAUCGCAAUCACAAACCAUGAUUUUUGAGUCCACACCAGCUUCCACAAUCUGACAAAGGAGAGAAUUUAUGGGAAGGAUCCAUGGGUAACCGACGACGAGGAAUUACAAGAUGUGAAGGAUUUCCACCAAUUUGAAUUAAACUAAUUUGAAUGAGUUCCUUACAUAUGAAAAAAUUACCAUUUUUUGCCUGUUUCCAAAUAUGUGCAAGAAGUAUACAGGGAUUGAAAGCUGAGAAAGAGACAAAAAUUCCUUUUCAAUGUUACAUAUUAUAUAUAGUUAUGUAUGACAGUGAGGCUAUCAACAGUGCAAUAAUGAUAAUUAUUAUAUAGCUUAUAAAUAGUCUAAUAUAAAAUCUGCGUAAAAUCUAGAGAAUGUUAGCGUUCAAUAUCCUGAGAAUUUAUUGAACACUAACUUUGCAUUGCGUAAAUUGCAUGCGCCCGAAACAUUCCGAGUAUGAGCGUUCAAUAUUGACGUUACCGUAACGACGUAAACAAGCCAAAAUGUCAAACGAAGGUCCUCCGAAUCUGACAGAGCCGGUAUUUGAUAUUUACUUAAGCAAAAUGUUUUACUGAACAUAAAUUAUGAUGUCCCCAUUUACAAAAUCAGUUUGCUUCAUGAAUUAAUGACGGGUUGAAUAUUGAACAGUUAAGAAAUGCAUGCUGUUAUUGCACACUGCCAAUAUUGAUGAAUUCUCAUCUAUUUUGGAGUAGUUUGAGUGAAAAGGGAUAUAAUUUAACAACUAAAUACUUUAGCUAUAUAAUAAAAGGGUUAUUGAACUUACAUAGGUGAAUAUUGGCACUCGUUGGCUGUCAAAAUGCACUCGCAAGCUCGUGCCAAUAUUCACCAAUAUAAGUUCAAUAACCCUAUAACAUGUGAAGUGUUUCCUAAUAAAACAUGAUAAAUUUUCUGAAAGUGUCAUUUAGAUGUGUUUGAUAGAUACCUGUAGUUCUCAUACAGUACAUAUUGAAAAAAGCCUCAUGGGAGGCAAAUUUAAUGAAGAGGAUAUGCAUAGAUACAGUGUAUAUAUGACAUACCAUACAUAUAGAAUAUUUAUUGACCUUUUUGGUAUACCUGUAGUAGGGGCAAAUGGUCAAAGUAAGCUUUUCACAUAAAUUUUUAUUUAUAAAUGGGGAUCCCGGACCCCUUC